GAUAUUAUAUUGGAGAAAAGAAGCGCCCUAUGGGUUCUCCUAACAGUGCAAGGUUAGAUUCUACUUUUUAUGUUGUUGAUUAUGGUAGAUUGGGAAUGCAUAAGUACGAGCUGAAUAACUUACUGCUCUUGUUUUCUUUCGCUUUUCUCAUAGAAGAACCAGUGCUAGCAAAAUAACAGUUAAUUUACAGUGUCCUAGAUGAAGAUGCAGAGAUAACAUAAAAGUUGCAAUGGCUGUCACAAGUGUUUGGGACUGGUCCUCGACGGCGAUGUUAGCCCACAGGUUAUGUCCCUACUCCCUCUCUGUGUGUACUUGUGUGUGUGUGUGGUAUUCAUUGACAAUCUCCUUCCAGCAUCUCGGGAAGGAGUGGUAUAAUUGUGCUUCCAGGGCAAAAUGCCGGAGAGACAAUGCCGCUCGGACUGCUCUCGGUGCAGAGGACUUCCAUGGGGGCUAAAGGGUAAUUUGAUAUGAUAUGAAAUCGACGCUCCUACUUUGAUUUUACUUUCUGAUUUUUUUUCUUUGCCAUCCUGUUGUCACUUGGUCAUGCCAACUGCUAAUAUGCCUGUGUGUUUAGCCAAUAUGCUAAAAUGGGGGCUAAAGGGUAAUUUGAUUGAAUCAGGUUUGGUUUAAUCCAUAUAUACAUCCUUAUUAGGAAAUAGCUAUUUUCCUAAAAAACUACUCCCUCCGUUCCUAAAUAUAGGUCUUUCUAGAGAUUUCAACCAGUGACUACAUACGGAGCAAAAUGAGUGAAUCUACACUCUAAAAUAUGUCUAUAUACAUCCGUAUGUGGUAGUCCAUUUGAAAUCUCUAAAAAGACUUAUAUUUAGGAACGGAGGGAGUAUUUGGAAACCCUAGGAAAAGCAUUGGUGCCUGGUGUAUAAUCAUUUCAGAUGGACUAUGGUUCUCUUAAAUCUGUGUGUAUCCAUGAAUAUGCAGAUUGACAUUAAAAUUCUCCAGGAUCUCUUCUAAUGAAGCUCUACCAUUGAAUAUGCAUAUUUUAUUUGCAAGGUCCUUGAAUAUGCACAUUGGCACUAAACUGUGUCUAAUGAACAUCUGAAAACAACAGCACAUGUCGUGUAACCAGUCAGCAUGACUCUUUUUCUGUUGUUGCUUUAUCCCCUUCUCUCUCUCUCUUUUUUUUUGACGAAAAGGCAGGGCCACUGCUUUUCAUUGCGUAUAGAAGAAAUAAACAUUUACAAAUACAAGAUUAGAGAAGGAGGAUUGGGGUUAGAGAUACAUCAGAGUCUGUAAGUCUGGUUCUAGGGGGCGCUCUACAAGAGCCAUUGCACACUUACGCCCAGCAUCUACCCAGUCCUUUGCUUCGAUCUGAAUCUUCUGACUCAGUUUUGUGGGGUGACACGAAAUAUUUCUGAAUGUUCUAUCAUUUCUUUCUUUCCAGAGGUUCCACCAAACCAGGGCCAAAAUUGAUCUCCAAGAUUUCGCUCUUUCCUUUCCCAUGGAAGAAUUUGUUCGCUGCCACCAGCUAACUAGGGAAUCGUCAUGCGCUGCCGCCAUAGCCGGGCUCAUGUUCAGCUUGCAGAGUGUCAGGUGCCAAGCUUCCUUCGCAAAAGAGCAAGAAGUAAGCAGGUGGGCAGCAGUUUCAGGCUCUUGUAGACAUAGCAGACACUGUGGAUUAUGGGGCCACCCUCGCUUAGCAAGGUUAUCCGCCGUUAGACAUCGAUCUUGAGCAGCCAGCCAGACGAAGAACUGACAUUUGGGAGGUGCAUCCGAGCUCCAGGCCAGCUUCGCAUACGGUGGCUUAAUGUUGGCAGUAAGAGUGGCAGCGUACGCCGAGCUGGAGGAAAACUGACCGUCGUUUGCCCAUCUCCAGGUUAGUGAAUCGUCUUGAGCCUGAGUGAGCUGGAUCGGCUGCAAUUCAUUCCAAAGGUUCAUGAAUUGGUUUAUCCCCUUUUUGCUCAUGUGGUGAACUGGUGAUGUCUUUUGUUUGCUGCUAGGGUCGCACGGAGUUUCAUCGGCCGAAAUUCUCAUGCUGACCGUACAAGUUCGCCCCUGUCCCCCACCUUCUCCUCAUCAUCGGCCAUAGUGGAGGGCUGGAGAGCAGGCGGGCGGAGCGGCAACUACUUUGAAAGAUGGUGACGACAUCAGUACAUAAGCAUUCUAGAAGAGAUUGGUAAUCUGAAGCUGCUAAAAGUUCUUCAACUUCCCACAUGCAAGGUCACGGGCACCGACUCUUGGUCAAUUGGUGGUCUUAUUAUAGCUCAGACAUUUUCCCAUUGCACCCUUCCUAUAUGGAUUUUUUUGUCUAUCUUGCUUUUCUUUUGGAGUAAGAAUUAAACCAAUUUUGGUGGAAUUCUUGCUAAAUAUUAGUUUUAGUGAUGGGUAUUGGUUUGACCCUAGCUAAUGUGGAGGUUUGGCGUGUUUGAUGACAUAUUGGCAUGCAAUGGGAAAAGCUUCAGAUCGGUUCUGCUAGAAGUUUCAAUGGCAUGCACAACUCUUUUUCAUACUGGCCUUUUACAGUCAGGCGUGCUUUGCAAAGUUGUUUGUUCUUUUAGUUGAAUGAUCUUCGUGUCCUAAGACUGAAACCUUCUGAUAGCAUGCAAUAUGCUAAUAAAAAGAAAACAUACAUGGAGCGUUCUGGCUCCCUUUAAUGUUAUUAUUAUAUUGUAGUAUCAGUAUAUAGGACUAGCCACUUCACUAUAGGAGCCAAGUUAUUCAACUUCUUUUUUCUUUCCUGUACUUCAUAUAGUUUUUUCAUAUUGUGGUUGUUAAUAAAUACAUCCCCUGUCUUACCUUGGCACUGCUUUCCUCUUAUUUGUAUAUAAGAUUGCUGGAGUUAUUUUUUUCCCAGUAACUCAGUUUUUAGGUAUUUCUCUUUAAACGUUAUAAUCUUCCUUUUAUUUUAAUAACUAGGCCAAGCAAAAAAGUGGACUUCUACAUUAUGCUUGCAGCAGAUAACUUAUAUUGUAUUAUGAAUAUUGAGACUUUGAAAAGACCUUCUGUCUUACCAAACAGUACUAGAUUUUAUUGUCAGUUUGAAGCAAAAAUGGUUUUAUGGUUGAUUGAACAACCUUUAAUAGUGCUUUUGUGGUCGGUGUAAAGAGGGUGAUGAGUACAUGAGAUUUUGUGGCCAUCUGUGGUUUCUAUUAAACAUCAUUUAUUACUUUAUGAAUUUUUCUGCUCAAGAAAGUGGACUUCAACAGUUGGUUGUAUGUCAUACUUUUGUCACUUCAGUAGGAAGUUGUGAGUAUCUGGGAGCAUUAUAGAUAUAGUUAUUGCUUAGUUUACUCCUCUUGUUCUCUUAGAAGCAAAUACUACAUUUUUGUUUAUUGGGAUCCUUUUCUUUCUAUCUCAUUAUUACCCAAUGAUUCAGUGUAACAUGUGAUUUAGAAGCAGAACUUAUGUUCUAUCCUGAUGGCUUAAUUAUUGGUAGUGUUGUUUGCAGAUAUGGAGUGUGUGUGCAUUUGAGAUGUCAAGAAGCAUUUGAAGCAGGAAGGGAGGUAUAAAAUUGAUUCUCAAGUUACCCUUUUUGGUGUUUGCUUUGUCUGGUUUUUUCUCGGUGAGUUACAUACAAUUUUCAUUCUUUUGUUUUCAUUGAUGUCCCAAAUUGUUAAAAACUUAUUACUUGAGUUGAUAUUUUGCAUGACCUCUGUAUUCUAUCUGAUGGAGCUGGAGUUUGCUUACACAGUGUUGUUGUUAUUAAUAUCUAAUAUACUAAAGCUAUGUAGUGGUUGUUUUCCAUGGCAGUGAACGAUAUAUGUGGCAGUAGUCAAUAUUUAUAUAUGAUGCAUAGAUGAUUAUAGGGCAACCUGGUGCAUGUAGCUCCCGCUUGCGCAGGGUCCAGGGAAGGGUCCGACCACUUUGGGUCUAUAGUACGCAGCCUUUCCCUACAUUUCUGUAAGAGGCUGUUUCCAGGACUUGAACCCAUGACCUCAUGAUUAUACUUUAGUAAAAUACAUCAUGAUCAGAAAUUAAUUUAAACAUAAAAUUUGGCCCUGAAUUUUUCUUCUCAUCUAAUGGGGCAUGUAUUUUGAAAGCAAGAAUGCUGUUCUGCUCUAAUAUUUCUUAGAUAGUGGGAGAAAGUCAUGCACAAAUUCAAGGCCAGCAAGGAACAACCUACUGAACGUGGAUGACCACCACUUCUCCGUCCAGGCAACCACCCUAUCCAUGGAGGAUUGACACCCUGUAGUCACGCCAUCUCAGUCCAGACUGCGUCAUGCUCACCUUCAAGAUUGUCGAGGUAAUUGAGAAAAAUUUAGUAGUAUUCAGUCAGUUGAUAGAUUAAAGAGUUCCCCAUAUUCUUUUGAAAAGUUUGCUACACUACUUUGAAAGAUGGUGACGACAUCAGUACAUAAGCAUUCUAGAAGAGAUUGGUAAUCCGGAGCUGCUAAAAGUUCAACUUUCCACAUGCAAGUUCACGGUCACCGCCCCUUGGUCACUGCUAAAAUUUCAACUUAACACAUGCAAGUUCACGGGCACCGCCCCUUGGUCAAUUGGUGGUCUUAUAGCUCAGACAUUUUCCUGUGCAGAGCUAGAUUUUUUAUGUUGCUUGACUCAUGAUGCAUUUAUUACUUUGCACUAGGUAUUGGCUGCUUUGUUGUAGUUACAAGUGUGCAAACUGAAUAUUGCAAGUGAAGCUCAUAAUCAUUAUUGAUAGAUGUUUGACUACUUAGAUUUAAGUUACAAUCAGAGAUGUUGACCUGUGGAUAUUCCUUGAUGCAUUUAAAUAUGUUGUUUGUGGAGACUCCAUAGUGAUUUGCCAAUGUGCGCUGUCAUAACAAAAGCUCCAUCUGUCAUUUAAAUAUGUUGUCUGGUUAUAGUUCUUUGUGCACUUGCUUUACCUCCUCCCAGUCUCCAUGUCCUUUGUUCUUUGUGCUUGCUUCUGUACGAUGUUCCUCUUCAAUUAGGGACGAUGAUGGUAUAACAUUUGUCUCAUUCUGCAAAUUACAUUCACCCUAGAAGUUUUCACUUCAUUUUUUUUGUAGCAUUUGUGGACAACUAACUGAUGGCUACUGUGUUCUGAAUCUUUGGGUUUGUGUAUUUAUCAUAAGUUUGCACCUUACAUUGUACUAUUCUGGCAUGUCCACUUGAUUAAGUGAAACUGUGUCUAUUUCGCAGACAAGAAAAUCCUAUGGGCAUUUUUUUGCCUGACCUCUUUUUGCGCAUCUUGUUUCUGGUGGCUACCUCUUACUGUUGGAUAGAUUAACAUUUUGUUUUGGGUCACUUUAUCUUGAUAGUCUGAUUAAAUUCGGAUGUGUAUGGUAGUUAUAGGAAGGUGACCAAAUGCAUUAUUUGAAUUUAUUCCUUGAGAGCAGGAUUGGUGUUAUGGUUUCAAAAACAUAGAAAGAGUUGGGUUGUUGUUGCUUACUACGAGUAGUUUAGUCAUGUAAUUCAGAAACAUAGAAAGACUAGAGAGUUUGACCGUUGAUCAUAGCACAAUUACGAUGCCUUAAAAACGCCUUGGUGUAUGAUAGAAAAUUUAUUAGGGUUAGCUUUGCCUUAUCAUUUUAGAUAUUUCUGCUGUGCCAAAAUAUCCAUACACAAUUUCUUCACAGAAGUACUUGUGUAAUGUUGAUUUGCAAAGUUACAGGUUCAGUUGUUUUCUUGUUUAGGAGGGGGAAAAACAGAAGUUCCCAUGCACGAACUUGGAUGGAUAAUUGGAAGGUCCAGAUAAGGGGGGCACACUACGCGGAGCUCAACUACAACUUGUCUAUUAUUUUGCAUGGUGGUGAAUAGUGCAGUGAUGUAUUUGUGCACAUACCAUUGAGCUUAGGGCACAUCAGAACAUUUUGACACUUAGCUGCCGUGUUAGAACUCAUGGCUCUUUGACAAGGAUGUUCCUUAUACUAAAGAAUCUGAUGAAAUGUUCCUUUCAUUUUUCUUUGGCACUUAGGUAAAUUGCGUGUGCCAGAUCCACUCACUCAAAGGCCACCAGAUCCACUCACUCACAUGUGCCAGGUCCGGAAAGCAUUAGAUGCCGUGGGAGCCAGCCU
rnacentral:lncRNA from 1 species